rnacentral:lncRNA from 1 species
UACUUGUGUUAACCCUUCACAAUUAAUGAGAACUCAUCUACUCCGUGGACGUAACCAAUUUGGGUGAACCACGUACAUCUUGUGUUUGCUUCCCUGUCCCUAUCCAUUUACAUACUUAUUCACACUAGUGACCGGAGCAAUCUAGUGAAGGUCACAAACUUAACAUUUUCUGUUGUACCGAAGUCCUCGAUGAUUUUGUGCAUCAACAAUGUACAACUGAUUUUUUUGGAAUGAUUAUUUUCACUUAUCACAUUUUGCU